ensembl:lncRNA
AAAAAGCAAAAACAACACAAAAGCACAAAACACAAACACUCACAAAAAAGUAGUUUUCCUACUGCACAAGUGCAAAAACAGCAAAUCAAACAACCACAUUAAAGCAACAAAACCAAAGGCCCACAACAAACCAAAGGCCCACUACAAACCAAAGGCCCACUACAAACCAAAGGCCCACUACAAACCAAAGGCCCACUACAAACCAAAGGCCCACUACAAACCAAAGGCCCACUACAAACCAAAGGCCCACUACAAACCAAAGGCCCACUACAAACCAAAGGCCCACAGAGUGCCCCACAGAAAAGAUCAGUGAAAAAACACAUAAGAAAAAACACACAACAUAGAAAUUAAAAAUGAGAAAAAAUUAACAAAAAUUGCAGAACCAAACAGCAAAGAAAAAUACACAGAAAAUCACAUCACAUUUAAAGCAACAAAACUGAAAAAAAAAAUAAUCGAAAAAAAAUCAACCAAAAAAACCCACAAAAAAAAAAUCCAAGCACAGAGCGCACCCCACAGAGCGCCCCACAGAAAAAAACAACAGAAAUAGACAAAUGAAAAAAACACACACAACACAGAAAUUAAAAUAGAGGAGAAAAACAAACAAACAGAAACAGAAAAAGAGAAAAUCAAAACCAAAAGACAAAAACAACCUCUAUAAGUACACAAAAUGCACACACAUGACAAAGAACAGAAACUGGAUCCGAUGUCAUGGCAAAGCAAAGCUGACAAGUGACUGUGGUGCAGGCCGAAAGCUUACCAUGUGUGCCUGGCAGGAGGAAAGGGCAGCUGCCGGGCACGGAUCAGCCAGCCAGCUGAGGAAAAGCCUCAAGGCCAUGGCAAGGAAAGAGGCAAGGGCACCCAGGAGGCGAGAAGCCAUCUGAGCCAUUGAGAAGGAAACCAAAAGAGAAGGCAAGGGAAGCAAAGAAAAGUCAUUCAGAAAAAAUCCACAGAAAAAUAAGAAAAAGAAAGAAAGCAAAGGAAAACCCAACACAAAUGGAAACCUAAAUAAAGAAAAAGCAAAGCAAAACAACAAAUGGAAUACAAAGAAAAAGCAAAACGAAGUCAGCAAAGAUAAAAAAUGAAGGAUCAGGAGGGGUAAUAGCAGGGGCCUCUGCAACUCGUCCUGUGGGGCUCCACAUGGCAGCUUUCCAUCUGCGCCGCUUCCCCACAACACCACACGCCCCACCUGUGAACAGGGCACGUUUCGUCACAUCCCACAUCCCGACCUCAAUCCCAACCCCCAUCCCGGCCCCACAGCCCACAUCCCACCCCAACAGACCACAUCCCGGCCCCACAUUCCACAUCCCAAUGCAAAUCCCAAUCCCACACCCCUCAUCCUAUCUCCCACAUCCUAACCUCGAUCCCAACCCAACAUUCCACGGCAACAGCCCUCAUCCCGGCCCCACAGCCCCCAUCCCAAUGGGAAUGCCAAUACCAAUUCACUAAUCCUAUAUCCCGACCCCAACCUCAACCCCAACCUCACAGCCCCCAUCCCAAUGCAAAUCCCAAUCCCACACCCCGAAUCCUAUACCCCACAUCCCAAUCCCACAUUCCAAUCUCAAUCGAUAUCCCUAAUCCCAUAUCCCAGACCUUAUCCCAACCCCAACCCCACCUUCCAAUCCCACACCAUAAUCCCAAUCCCGAUCCCACAGCCCUAAUUCCAUAUCCCACAUCCGAACCCCAAUCCCACACCCAUUUCCCAACCCCACAGGGAG